AUGAGUUUUGACUCUCAGGGAACGUAUGAUUUCUACAAUCUUUAUUCAUGGGAGCUCGGAUUUGGUAUAAGAUAUGGCAAGAGCGAUCUGAAUGUCGAGCUGGCGAAAGGUAUGCAGGAAAUUGUGUGUGGAUGCUUGGGGAGGCCUGAGCAGCAAAACAGCCGGUCUUGCCGGUGCGAAUGCCCUGCAAUGUUUUCGAGGAUGGGGCUUACUAGGUCGAGGAAAUUGAAAGGAAGAAGAAGUACAUUGCAAGACACAACAAUGCCGACAACCGUGGGAAGUGGAGCAAGGUUGUUUAUGAGGUGA
rnacentral:rRNA from 1 species